GAUGAACGCUGGCGGCGUGCCUAAUACAUGCAAGUCGAGCGAACGGACGAGAAGCUUGCUUCCCUGAUGUUAGCGGCGGACGGGUGAGUAACACGUGGAUAACCUACCUAUAAGACUGGGAUAACUUCGGGAAACCGGAGCUAAUACCGGAUGAUAUUUUGAACCGCAUGGUUCAAAAGUGAAAGACGGUCUUGCUGUCACUUAUAGAUGGAUCCGCGCUGCAUUAGCUAGUUGGCAAGGUAACGGCUUACCAAGGCAACGAUGCAUAGCCGACCUGAGAGGGUGAUCGGCCACACUGGAACUGAGACACGGUCCAGACUCCUACGGGAGGCAGCAGUAGGGAAUCUUCCGCAAUGGGCGAAAGCCUGACGGAGCAACGCCGCGUGAGUGAUGAAGGUCUUCGGAUCGUAAAACUCUGUUAUUAGGGAAGAACAUAUGUGUAAGUAACUGUGCACAUCUUGACGGUACCUAAUCAGAAAGCCACGGCUAACUACGUG
rnacentral:rRNA from 1 species